AUGACAGGAGGGAGAAGGAAGAAGCGAGGCAAAAGAGCUUUGUCCAAGGAGAUGCGACCAGCGCGGCCCAUCCUGCUGCCCAGGGAGAGAUCCAGCACUUACCGAUUCCAGCUCCGUGUUGCUGCCUUGGCCUGUGGGAGGACCAGCAGGACAGGAACCGGCUUUUGGUUGAGGACAAAAAGAGUCCCAGGCCACCCCUCCCAUGAUACUGGAGCUGAUCCCAAUUUCCCUGGGGAGUGCAGAUUCACUUUUUGUACAGAUCCCUGGGAAGUGCAUCCAGGAAACCGACUUUUACGUUCCUCAAGCUUGAACUUCUUAGUGAUUCAAACUUUUUCACAAUCUCAACAAUACGUGGACUUCCAUAUCCCAUUAUGGAGAGGAAGGAUGAACCAGGAAACAAGGGGAACAGGGGCUCCUUUCCACCCCUUGCCCAAAGUCAAACUGGAGAGCUUAAAGCGUCUCCUGAACCCGUGAAAAGCAACUUUUGCUUGCAUGACUUAAUUACUUGCUCAUCUAAUUUGGAAAAUUCAAAGUAGGACUCAGGGUAGCCUGGGGCAAUUGGCAAGGGAGGACAAAUCUAGGUACCACUCCUUAAGAUUCAGAAUGGGUUUUCUCUUCUUAAGCUGUGAUGUGAUACGUGCUAAGCACUUCAACCUAUGUGUUUACAAACCAAAAUGCUCAACUUGGGGCCCCUCUUCUCUGCAGUGAAUUCCUGUAGUCUCCCACUCCUACAUCAGCCUAAUGUAGGGGAUGCAUCUGUGGUCCCAAAGGCAAAGGGGCACCCAGAUGACCUCGAGAGCCUCUGCUCCCUCUUGGCUCUGAGACCGCUCAGUAGGAACUAGUUUCAUUCCAUUUGCCCCAUCUGGCAUCCCACUGGGGCCGCACAAGGUUGUCUUCAAACUGGAGUGACGUAAGAUGAGGGAAUGUUCUUUUGGGGACAGGGACUUUCAGGAGUUUGAGGUAGAAACCAGCUCUAAAAACGUGGAAGAAAACUCACUAUAUCUAAUCAACAGUGGGAUCUAGGUUUGAAAGAAAAGGGUAGCAUUAAGUAUAAGUUUUCCUUUAAAAAUUCUGAAUGGCAAAUAGGCAGUAAAACAUCGACUCAUUUACCUAAAUGGAUUUUGGCUGAAACUGCCAAGAUAAACCGAGCAGAGAGUGACUAAGAGAACGCCCAGGGCCACAUUCCGGAGAUUUCUACCAAAAAAACGCACUCUCCUUCUAAAGAUUCCUAUCACUUGAGCAUUUGCUGGGUUUGAGGCACAGUCUGUUACACACAUCAUCCCAUUUGACCUACCUCAUGACCUCAGGAGAUAGAUUUUAUUAUCAUCAUUUUACAGAUUAUAGAAGUGAGGUAGAGAAAGGUAAAGUGACUAGCUCAAGGUCACAUAGCUGGCAAGUAAUGGAGUUUUUCUACUCAUACGGUCUUGACGCUGAAGCCUUACUCUGAUCCACUGGCCCAGGGUCAUUGUGUUUAGACCUGUAAUUUCUGGGCUCCCAUCCUUCUGUGCCAGCUCAAGUCCAGUGAUGCAAUGAGGCCCUUGUUGGAACUAUAUCUUCACGGUCCACCCAAAGGGAAGCCACCAGCCAUGCCCUGGGACCUCUGUUCCCUAUAUCUAUGUCAGAGCCAGACUGGCCUAAGGUUACCAGACCUUUUGAUCACAGAGCUUCAGCCUCUUCCUUGAGGGAAGUAGAGUGAUGAUGGAAAGGACAGGGCACAAAGCAAGGGAAACCUCAUUACUCCACUUCUGAUGUCCUCAAAGACCUAAAUUCCUGAAGUAACACCUCAUUCUCCCAAACUCUGUCCUAGGCCAGGAGUUCCUCAGGAAACACUUCAAGGGGAUGCUUAGAUAGACAAGCAGGUGCAAAGGUGCUGAGGCUAUUCCCCAGGAGUUUAAGAAGAGCAACAAACCAGACUUUCCCUGGCCUACAUCUCCCACCCAUUUUUACUAAAGCCGAACGUUUCUUUUUCCUAAAAAGACAUUAUUUUUUAGAGCAGCGUUAGGUUUACAGCAGAACUAGCAGAGGAUACAGAGAGUUCCUAUACACUCCCUCUACCCAAACAUUUCUAACCUCCCCUACUAUCAACAUGCC
ensembl:lincRNA